rnacentral:tRNA from 1 species
GGGUUGUUAGCUCAGUUGGUAGAGCAGUUGACUCUUAAUCAAUUGGUCGGGGGUUCGACCCCCCCACAACCCACCA